rnacentral:rRNA from 1 species
ACGCUCGACACCUACUGGAGGCAGCAGUGGGGAAUAUUGCACAAUGGGGGAAACCCUGAUGCAGCGACGCCGCGUGGAGGAAGAAGGUCUUCGGAUUGUAAACUCCUGUUGUUGGGGAAAAAGNGGAUGGUACCCAACAAGGAAGUGACGGCUAACUACGUGCCAACAGCCGCGGUAAUCUGAGCGGGCUGGCAAGGC